UACCCUUUUCCCUUCAAGGUGGGUUUUAUGAAGAUUUCCCCCUCCACCUAUCCUGAUACCAAGAACUGGAUUUGGCAUUGGUUUUAAGUUGCUCAGAUGAAGAUUCAAGGCUCAGAGGGAAGAAACUUCCCAGGCAUCAUACAGUUGGUCAGUGUUAGAGCCAGAAUUUAAAGUCCACUCUGUUAUACCGUUCUGAUAUUCUAAUCACUUUGAUUCCCUGCUGUUCCUGCCCAAGGCUCCUGCAGAUGCCAGGCACCUCUUAUGCUCAGUCAAGGAAGGUCUGUCAGCUUCUAUCAGCACAAAGGAGCAACCCAGUUAAGCAAGGUCAGAAGACUCUGAGGCAGCAGACAACUGGGGAAAGGGGAGAAUAGAUAUCUAAAAUCUAAGAAAGACAGUGUUUAUCACUGACCGCUUACAUCAAGUUAUUGGGUGCCCUCAUUUAUUAUGUUAAAAUGGUUGCAGCUGAUGUGAAUUCAUCUAAAAGCAAAGUCUACUCAUGAUUUUCAAGGAGAAAAAUGAAAGACAGUACCAAACCAAACCAAAGCAAACAAACAAAGAAACCAAAACCACAGCCCCUGGGCUCUCUCUCUAGUCCCAUGAACAUCUACCACAAUUUACUCAGAAAAAGAGCCGC
rnacentral:lncRNA from 1 species